GACGAACGUUGGCGGCGUGCUUAAUACAUGCAAGUCAACUGAAGCACCGGUAGUAAUACUGGUGUGGAGGUGGCGCACGGGUGAGUAACACGUAGGUAAUCUGCCUUCAGGUCUGACAUAACCCCGAGAAAUCGGGGCUAAUAGCAGAUGAUGCAGCGGCUUGACAUCAAGACAGUUGUUAAAGCUUCGGCGCCUGAAGAUGAGCCUGCGUCUGAUUAGCUAGUUGGCGGAGUAAUAGCCCACCAAGGCGACGAUCAGUAGCUGGUCUGAGAGGAUGAUCAGCCACACUGGAACUGAGACACGGUCCAGACUCCUACGGGAGGCAGCAGUAAGGAAUAUUGCUCAAUGGGAGAAAUCCUGAAGCAGCAACGCCGCGUGAGGGAUGAAGGGCUUUUGCUCGUAAACCUCUGUAGUGAGGGAAAAAAUUUCCAUUCUAUGGAAUAUGAUGGUACCU
rnacentral:rRNA from 1 species